rnacentral:piRNA from 1 species
UGUGUGCUUUGACCUUUUAGACUUUACAUU